rnacentral:lncRNA from 1 species
AUGUCUCCAGUUUUUCCUUUUGGAAGUGAUAUAUCAAUAUUUGGCAUUUUCAUAUGUGGCAUCUUGAAUUUUCUUCCUUGUCCCUCAAUUUCCAAAUUAGGUUCAUUAAUAUCACCAGUUUUUCCUUUUGGAAGUGAUAUAUCAACAUUUGGCAUUUUCAUAUGUGGCAUCUUGAAUUUUCCACCCCCUCCUUCAAUUUCCAUCCCUGGUCCUUCAAUUUCUACACUUUUUCCUUUUGGAAGUGAUAUAUCAACAUUUGGCAUUUUCAUAUGUGGCAUCUUGAAUUUUCCACCCCCUCCUUCAAUUUCCAUCCCUGGUCCUUCAAUGUCUCCAGUUUUUCCUUUUGGAAGUGAUAUAUCAAUAUUUGGCAUUUUCAUCUUGAAUGUUCCUCCUUCUCCUUCCAUUUCAAUUUCUGGUGCACUGAUGUCUCCAGACUUUUCCUUCGGAAUUGAUAAGUCUACCUUUGGUAUUUUCAUAUGUGGCAUCUUCAAUUUUCCUCCCCCUCCCGGAAUUUCCAUGUCUGGUCCUUCAAUCCCUCCACUUCUUCCUUUGGGAAGUGAUAUAGCAAUAUUUGGCAUUUUCAUAUGUGGCAUCUUGAAUUUCCCACCUUCUCCUUCCAUUUCUGGUGCACUGAUGUCUCCAUGGUUUCCCUUCGGAAGUGAAAAGUCUACCUUUGGCAUUUUCAUAUGUGGCAUUUUGAAAUUUCCGCCCCCUCCUUCAAUUUCCAUCUUUGGCGCUUCAAUCCCUCCACUUAUUCCCUUGGAAAGUGAUAUAUCAAAAUUUGGCAUUUCCAUAUGUGGCUUCUUGAAUUUUCCACAUUCUCCUUCAAUUUCCACCGUGGAUACAUCAAUUUCUCCAUGUUUUACUUUUGGAAGUGAUAUGUCUACCUUUGGCAUUUUAAUGCCAGGCAUCUUGAAUUUUCCACCCCCUCCCUCAAGUUUCACUUUGGAUGCAUCAAUGUCACCAGUUUUUCCUAUAGGACGUGAUAAAUCUAUAUCAGGCAUUUUGAUGUUUGCCAUUUUAAAUUUGCCUCCCUCCCCGUCAAUGUUUGUUUCAUGCUUGACUUUAGGCAGAGUUACAUCAAGAUCAAUAUGGGGGGCUGAUACAUCAAUAGUUGGCAUUUUAGGGAUUUUCAGGUUUCCUUCAUAA